GUGGGGGAUAUUGCACAAUGGAGGAAACUCUGAUGCAGCAACGCCGCGUGAGGGAAGAAGGUUUUCGGAUUGUAAACCUCUGUUUUUAGUGAAGAAACAAAUGACGGUAGCUAAAGAGGAAGCCACGGCUAACUACGUGCCAGCAGCCGCGGUAAUACGUAGGUGGCAAGCGUUGUCCGGAAUUACUGGGUGUAAAGGGUGCGCAGGCGGGAUUGCAAGUUGGAUGUGAAAUACCGGGGCUUAACCCCGGAGCUGCAUCCAAAACUGUAGUUCUUGAGUGGAGUAGAGGUAAGCGGAAUUCCGAGUGUAGCGGUGAAAUGCGUAGAUAUUCGGAGGAACACCAGUGGCGAAGGCGGCUUACUGGGCUCUAACUGACGCUGAGGCACGAAAGCAUGGGUAGCAAACAGGA
rnacentral:rRNA from 1 species